AGUCGGUAGAGCAGUUGGCUUUUAACCAAUUGGUCGUAGGUUCGAAUCCUACACGACCCACCAUUUUCUACGGGGC
rnacentral:tRNA from 1 species